rnacentral:rRNA from 1 species
AGCAGCCGCGGUAAUUCCAGCUCCAAUAGCGUAUAUUAAAGUUGUUGCAGUUAAAAAGCUCGUAGUUGAAUUUCGGGAUCAGUACGCUGGUCAUGCCUUUGGUAUGCACUGGUGUCACUGGUUUCUCCCCUCUGAAGAUCCGUGAUGUCAUUAAUUUGGUGUCGCGGGGAAUCAGGACUGUUACUUUGAAAAAUUGAGUGUUUAAAGCAGGCUCACGCUUGAAUACAUUAGCAUGGAAUAAUGAAAUAGGACGUUUGACCCUAUUUUGUUGGUUUCUAGGAUCGACGUAAUGAUUAAUAGGGAUAGUUGGGGCAUUAGUAUUCAAUUGUCAGAGGUGAAAUUCUUGGAUUUAUUGAAGACUAACUACUGCGAAAGCAUUUCCAAGGAUGUUUCAUUAAUCAAGAACGAGAGUUGGGGCUUGAAGACGAUCAGAUACCGUCUAGUCU